UGCGGAAGGAUCAUUAGUGAAUAUAGGACGUCCAACUUAACUUGGAGUCCGAACUCUCACUUUCUAACCCUGUGCACUUGUUUGGGAUAGUAACUCUCGCAAGAGAGCGAACUCCUAUUCACUUAUAAACACAAAGUCUAUGAAUGUAUUAAAUUUUAUAACAAAAUAAAACUUUCAACAACGGAUCUCUUGGCUCUCGCAUCGAUGAAGAACGCAGCGAAAUGCGAUAAGUAAUGUGAAUUGCAGAAUUCAGUGAAUCAUCGAAUCUUUGAACGCACCUUGCGCUCCAUGGUAUUCCGUGGAGCAUGCCUGUUUGAGUGUCAUGAAUACUUCAACCCUCCUCUUUCUUAAUGAUUGAAGAGGUGUUUGGUUUCUGAGCGCUGCUGGCCUUUACGGUCUAGCUCGUUCGUAAUGCAUUAGCAUCCGCAAUCGAACUUCGGAUUGACUUGGCGUAAUAGACUAUUCGCUGAGGAAUUCUAGUCUUCGGAUUAGAGCCGGGUUGGGUUAAAGGAAGCUUCUAAUCAGAAUGUCUACAUUUUAAGAUUAGAUCUCAAAUCAGGUAGGACUACCCGCUGAACUUAAGCAUAUCAAUAAGCGGAGGAA
rnacentral:rRNA from 1 species